UGGCGCAAUCUCAGCUCACCCUGGGCAGGUGACAGAGCGAGAGUCCAUCUGAAAACAAAAAAAAACGAACAAACAAAAACCUCCACACACAAAACUAACCAAAGGAUGCUUUAACCAGAGGCCAAGCUCAAACCUGGACCCACGCAGCUCACAGUAGCUCCUGCUCAGGCUACACAGAGGCCUGCAAUCCACAGAUAAUCACAGUUGGAGAGAAAAAGCGGCCGGGAGUGCGGCUGGGCUGUUUUCUCAAGAGAAGCCCAAGUGAGGAGGCCAUCCUGGUGGCAAACGGCAAGAGCCGCCCGACCUUGCUGAAACCCCCCACCUCGCCUUCCUCCGAGGAGACCUUGGGCUCCCACUGCCAGACGCCCCAACACCCGCCGGCCGUUGGCACUGAGCAGUCAGCUUCCUCUAUCCCAGGGACUCCUCAGGUCAUGGCAUGUUUGGCCUGGCCAGAAUGCAGGGUCCCCACAGCCCCUCAUGGGCCAGCCUGCCCCCUGUCCCUGCAGGCCCCUGGCCACACACCUGGAUGAUCUUCUCCGGGAUGUUGGAGACAGUGAAGCCGUAGAGCCGCACGCGCUCUGGGAAGAUGCUGGACAGGAUCCUUCGGUCCAGCUGGAAGGCGAUCUCACCCACCAGCCUCUCCCAGGCCAGCUGCUUCGACUCUGGGGACACAGGGUCUCAUCAGCCCAGACAAAGAAUGGAAAUACAGAAAAAAAGAUGAAAAACCACGGAUAGUUCCAUCAUCCCACGGUUAGUCUCUAUUGAGGAGCCGCGUGUUGCCUUGGAGACCUUCUCCACCGUGUGUAUAUAGAUCAGGAGUUGGCAAGCAUUCUCUGUGAAGGUCCAGAGGUAAAUACUUCCACCUUUGCCAGCUAUAUGGUCCCUGUUGCAACCGCUCAAGCCUGCCGUUGCCUUGAGAAGGCAGCCACAGGCAACCCGGAGGUGAAUGAGGGAGGAUGUAUGGCAAUAAACCUUUAUAGAUGAACACUACAUUUUGGAUUUCAUGUGUCACGUAAUAGUAGUUUUAUUUUAACCAUUUA